rnacentral:rRNA from 1 species
GAUGAACGCUAGCGGGAGGCUUAACACAUGCAAGUCGUGGGGCAGCAUUUGGUAGCAAUACUGAGAUGGCGACCGGCGCACGGGUGAGUAACGCGUAUGCAACCUACCCAGUACAGGGGGAUAGCCCGGAGAAAUUCGGAUUAAUACCCCAUAAUGAUAUAAAGAGGCAUCUUUUUAUAUUUAAAGAUUCGGCGGUACUGGAUGGGCAUGCGUAAGAUUAGCUAGUUGGUAGGGUAACGGCCUACCAAGGCUCCGAUCUUUAGGGGUCCUGAGAGGGUGAUCCCCCACACUGGUACUGAGACACGGACCAGACUCCUACGGGAGGCAGCAAUGAGGAAUAUUGGUCAAUGGGUGCAAGCCUGAACCAGCCAUCCCGCGUGAAGGACGACUGCCCUAUGGGUUGUAAACUUCUUUUGUAUAGGGAUAAACCUACCAUCGUGAGGGUAGCUGAAGGUACUAUACGAAUAAGCACCGGCUAACUCCGUGCCAGCAGCCGCCGUAAGAC